AGUUAGAGGAGGAAGAGAGGAGGCAGAGGAGGAAGAGAGGAAGUGGAGGAAGAGAGGAGAUGGAGGAGGAAGAGAGGAAGUGGAGGAGGAAGAGAGGAGGCAGAGGAGGAAGAGAGGAAGCAGAGGAGGAAGAGAGGAGGCAGAGGAGGAAGAGAGGAAGCAGAGGAGGAAGAGAGGCAGAGGAGGAAGAGAGGAGGCAGAGGAGGAAGAGAGGAGGCAGAGGAGGAAGAGAGGAAGCAGAGGAGGAAGAGAGGAGGCAGAGGAGGAAGAGAGGAGGCAGAGGAGGAAGAGAGGAGGCAGAGGAGGAAGAGAGGAAGUGGAGGAAGAGACGAGACGGAGGAGGAAGAGAGGAAGUGGAGGAGGAAGAGAGGAGGCAGAGGAGGAAAGGAGGAGAAGGAGGAGGAAGAGAGGAAGUGGAGGAAGAGAGGAGACGGAGGAGGAAGAGAGGAAGUGGAAGAAGAGAGGAAGUGGAGGAGGAAGAGAGGAAGUGGAGGAAGAGGGAGAGAGGAGGCAGAGGUGGCCGAGAGGAAGGUAAGGAGGAAGAGAGGAGGUGGAGGAGGAAGGAGAGAGGAGGCAGAGGUGGCCGAGAGGAAGGUAAGGAGGAAGAGAGGAGGUGGAGGAGGAAGAGCGUAAGCGGAGGAGGAAAAGAGGAUGCCCAAGAAACCACUACUAAAAGACACCAAUAAGAAGAAGAGUUUUGCUUGGGCAAAGAAAUAUGAGCAAUGGACAUUAGACUGGUGGAAAUCUGUCCUUUGGUCUGAUGAGUCCA
ensembl:lncRNA